CGCCAGCAAAACAUCUGCCGGCGGCCUGUACCGCAGAAACAUUGCGCGAACAAUAUUAUAUUAUAAACAACAUUUUUGUACAUUGUCACUCGAGUGUUAUUAUUGUUAUUAUAAUGUGGCGGGCAUAGACCUAUAAACAAGUUUAUAGGAGGCGGGCGGGCCAUAACCACAAAAUGUUUUCUCCUCGUAGUCUGUAGGCAGUGUAAGGACGGUUGGUCAUAUUGGCUUGCUGAUGCCGCCGACGGACGUCGGGCGUCGCAUUGUUACGGCGACGACGUCAGACCCGCCACCCACCACUGCACACUCGCUAAUCGUUCACUACUGACUACUGUGGUACUGUCUACUCUCAGUUUCUCGGUCCGUCGCUCUAGCAGUCUACCGUAACUCGUAAGUGGUGCGCAUGUCGGUUAGUUAUACAGUUUCUUUUAACUCGCUGUUACGUAGCCCGUACAUAACAAAACCUUGUCUUGCCCCUCAGACGCGGCGAUACGACACAACAACAACCGCCGCCGCCGCCGCCGCCGCCGUCUCCCCUCCACGCAACUAGGAACGCCAACUGACGCCGUAUAAUAUUGACGUGUACAACUGUGUACUGCGUAGCGUCGUACGGCAUCGGUGCACUGCGGACCGGUCGGCCAUUUUUUUCAUUAGCGUCACUCCUUCCUCGCCGGUACUGCUCUGUUCAAGACGUGUGCGCACUGUGUUCGUCUCAUCGCCUCCAAACCCGAAGGUCAUCGUUUUCCUGUACUGAACUAUACCAUCGGCCAACGUAACAUUAACCUGUCCUUUCGACGGCGAGAACUUGUUGAUUCGGUAACGUAGAGUGCAGUACUUCGGUCUCGCCAUGAAAGCUGUGGACACUGACCACAUCCAGGGCAAGGACAAUGGCUGUUCGUCGUGCAGAGUAUCCGGAUCUGUUACCUUGUUACUGGUUGCUGCUUAUUUUUACUUCGGCUGCAAGCACGUGAAACCCGUGUAUUACUUCGGAACCCCGAGUAUGUAUGAAACAAUACAUAAAAUCACGGAAUUAUAUAUUAAUUAAUUAUCCUUCAAAAAUUUGCGAUUUUACGUUUAUAUGCUUGUGAACAACACUGCAUUUUACUGCUGUGCACAGUGCAUAUAACAAAUUUUGAUUUUUUUUUAAUGUACCUUUAUAGUUAAGGAUGCUGAAAAUGAUGGUGAAGGACUGGCAGUCGGACUUAGUUUUAAAGUUAUAGCUAAAUGAAACUUACAGUAUUUUCAUAUACACACAGUGUGGUCUUGUUAUGUAAAACCACACCUUAAACUACAAACUAGCGACUGGUUGGUGGUGGAGCUGGUCAGUGUUGUCGUAUGAUUCAAUGGUGACAAUAAUAUUGGGGGCCAGAAUGCACUUUGUGCUAUGCUAGCUUAUGACGACAGCGACGGUGACAGCGAUAGCCGCUGGCGGCCGUGAGUCGAGUGUGCGAACACUGCCGUGUGAGUGAGGGGGUCGAGGAUAAGAUAUUACAUAAUAUUGUUGUUGUCGUUAAUAAUAAUAAUCGCGCGUUCACUUUUAAUAAUCAUAAUAAUAACCGCAACUUUUACAUAAUAAUCACUUGGUUUGGGGAAUUUUUGUUAUACUAUCAAUAAUAUAAGAGGCCCAAAUUCUGUAACGUUACAACAUUAAAACUAAGUCUGACUGCCAAAUUCUGACUAUACCAUCAUUUUCAGCAUGUUUGACUAAACACAUACGUUAAAAAAGAAAAAAAAAAUUUGUUAAAGGCGCUUUUAGUAUCAGUAAAAUGAAGUGUUGAGCGUGGCAUAUAAUAUAAAUUCGCAAACUUUAGAAAUGUAACUUCCUAAAUAAUUACAUUUUUUUUUCGCACCAUCAAUCUUAACUCUAUUUCAAAAAUUCAAAAAAAAAAAAUGACUAGACUACAAUAUAACAAAAUUAUUCCGGUUUUCUAGAAGGAUACACUAUUUGACGUCGGUCGUGAACGUGUUAAUAUAAAUUAUCUCGUAAAUAAUACUGACAUUUUACGUUUUUUUUUAAAAAGAACCAAUUUAAUUUUGAAAUACAAAAAUAUACUGAUUUAAAUUUUGUGAUUUAAAAUACCGGGGGACCAAAUGAAGAGGUGGGUGCAACAACCAGACAUCUCCAUAUUAUGAAAAUGUUCAGGAGAGACAAAAUAGUGUUUUAAAAAAUAACUAAAAAUUUUAAAAAAUUGUAAAAAAUAUAAUUGAAAUCUAAUUUUGGGCUUAUAAUUGAUGCCAACACCCAAAUUGUCAAAAAAAAAUUUCUGUACUCACCAAACCAAAAACAAUUUGGAAAUGUCUGGUUGUUGCACUAAAAAUGUUAUCAUCGGUAAUAUAACAUUAUAGUAUAUGCAUUGUUUUAAACAUUGAUACAUCUAUACAAAUAAAUAACAAAAAGGUACAUGUUUUUUUGUUAAAAUAAAAAUGUUUCCUUCAUUUUAUUAGUAUUUAUAAAACAAGUUAUAAUAGUAUUCAUGAAAAAAAAAUAUAUAAAAUAUAAAUAACAGAAAACUGUAAGUAAGUACUUGCUUCUUUUUUAAAAUAAAACUGUUACCUUCAUUUUAUUAAUAGGUAUUUAAAAACAAUAAAAUAAAACAAUUUAUAAUAAUAGUUAACAAUAUAAAAAUUAAAUAAUAAAAAAUAGUAGUAGGUAUACAUGUUUUUUGUUUAUAUACAAAACAAAUUACUUAUAUUAUUCAUGAAAAAAAAAACUAAUAUAAAAUAUAAAUAAAAAAUAACAGUAAUUUUGUUUUACUAUUCAUCAGAGUUGUCUUCAUGUGGUAAAUCGUUUGAUUCAAGAGCAUUAUAAAACCAGAGAUUGUCAGGUGGGACAUACUUAGACGCCAAAUCCCUUACAUCUAAUAAUUUAGCUUCUUUUAUUUUGAGAGGACUAUUAUAAAGAAUACUUAAAGGUCCUGGUAGACUUAACUGUGCAUUUGGUUUAUGUAAUUUGAAAAGUUCUUUGGCAGUGGAAUGAACCUAUAUACUUGCAAACAAACCAUCUUUAGUAUACUCCAUAAAUCGGUAUGAUAAAAUGGAAAAAUGUUUAACUGUUUUUUUAAAAAAAGGUUUUGUAUGAUCUGUAUAAUUUAGUAUUGUAUCUUGUUUUACAUCAAUAACAUUGAAGCUUUUACAUGUAUCUUUGACAAGUUUUUGGUAAGUGGCUGGUAAAAAAACAUAUUCUAAUUUUCUUUUAUUUUUUUCGAUUAAUGCAAAAGCUUUAUCACAAGGUAAAAAACUAUGUCCAGGUUGUGGAUAUCGAUGUACUAUAGUUUUUAUACCAAAUUUUUUUGUUAAUGCUAAUGUGUAAAAGUACUGUGUUAGACCAAAGUUUUUAUUUUGUGUGCUACAGUUGUCAGAAAACAAAUAUACAGUCUCAACACUUUUAUCCAUUAUAUUGGAAAAAAAAUGAUUUAUAAAGUUUAUAACUUCAUUUUGGCCCUUGCGACCUGUAGCUUCGUCAUACAUAUAAAAAUAUGAUUUUCCUGUUUUCCCUGAAUGUAUACAAAAAUUGUACACCCACAGUUGCCUUUUAUAAUAAACAUCUCCACUUGGUAUUUGGGGCAGUGGCAUAUUUUGUUGAUAAUCAAAUGAUAAAACUUCACAUUUGUUGUUUGGAUCCUUGGAUUCUAUAGUUUUUUCUUUUAAGUCAGUAUAAAAUACUUCAGCUUUAGAAAGGUGCAAUUGUUUUUCAGUCUGUAGUUUAUUUUUUAAUUCUUCAUUUGUUUCCACUUUAAUUAAAUUUUGAAGCUUAUCACACACCUGACAGGUGUCAGAACGUGGAUAGCCAAAAGAAAGUUUAAAAUUGGUUAAAAAGUAUCUUCGAUAGAAGUCAUAGGAAAGAUUUGGUUUUAUAUUUUCAUAUUCUAGUACUUGUUGCCAAUUUUCAUUUUCAUAUUUCAACAUGUAAAGCUCAUACAUUUUAUACAUAAAAGGUAAUAGGUAUCGAACAGAUUCAUUUUUAUUGCGGCUGUAAUGGGAUUCAUGAGCAGGAAAACUUCUAAUAUGGGUGUCUACCUGAAAAAUAGUUUUCUCACUUUUAGAAUUUCCUCUAUUCAUAUGUUUUCCGCGCUUAUCUACUGGACUUGGUAUAUUAUCCUGUAUUGAUUUUAUGAUCCGUUCCACUCUAGAUUUAUGUAUACCAAACAGAGAACAGAAUGCUUUCUUACACACUACUUUUUCACUUUGAUCAACUCUGAUUUUAUAAAUACAAGCACAUGAUUUAGGUUUACUAGAGUCCUUGGGUCGUUUUCUUAUAAUUUUAUUCACUUUUAUUAAGCCUCCAAGAAAAGUAUCUUGUUUCUCCUUGUGUCCUAUUUCAUUAAAUAAAUUUAAAAUUUUACUUUUUUCGCUGUCAAGUACUUUGGUAAAACAUUUGUGGAUACAUUGACAGUCAGGUCCUGUUACUCUUGGCAUAACAUGUUUUCCACGUAAACUUACAUGGUCUACACCAGUUGCAUUCAAACUUUUACUCACAUUUCGUCUCCAUCUAUGAAUAUUCUUACGUUUUUUUUUACCUUGAGUACUGUUUUCUUCAUCGGAAUCUUCUAUGAUACGAACGCCGUCAUCUUCGACAUUGACAUUAUUAUUGUUAUUUAUUGUUUCUAGGUCACUAUCAUAAGCCAAAAUAUUACCUAGAUUGCUAUUAAAAUCAGAUAGGAUAGAUAUAUCAGACACUUCAAUCGGCGAGAAUGGAUUGUAAUCGGAAUCAUCAAAACUAUUCGAAAACGUAGUCGGAACACUCGAAACACUCAUUUUUAUCACAAAAUGUUACAUCUAACUGGUUAGUAGGUACUAAAGUAGAAAGUAGGAACUAAACUACGUCUUUUAUACAUCUAACAACAACUAACUUGUAAUAAGUUUAAAGUUAAUAAAACUACAAAUCUAAUAAAACUAAAGGAACAAUAUUUAUUAUUUAGAAAAUAGAAAUUAAUAUAUUAUGAUAACAUUGAUUUCAUAUCAGUGAUAAGAACAGUCAUUACAGUAUGACCAAUAUUCGGCGCAACAACAAGACAUCUCCGGAGAAGUCUUGUUGUUGUAACAAAAAAUAAAAGAGACAUCUCCGUUUGUAUUAUAUCUCCGUAUCUAAUGUUCGUAUAUGUCUGAUUGUUGCACCAAUCGAUCGAGAUUUUUUUUUUCUAUAGGAAAAGUGAAAAAAGUGAUUUUCGAAAAAAAGUGGAGAUGUCUGGUUGUUGCACCCACCUCUUCAUUAAUAUCCUAUGGAUAAAUAACUCCUGGGGGGCCAAAUGUUCUAUCUUAAAUUUUUGACUGUGAUAACAUAUUCAUGAACUGGUUUCUUCUGCGGGGAAAAAACGUCUGUAUACCCAAUACAUCAUACUAUUUUGCAUGUCGUUUGAACACUAAAACAUGGUGUGUGCCAAUAUUGGUAAAAUAUUAAUGUUUCCAUACGUCAUACUACCUCCUAUAUUAUUAUUUGCAAUGUCUGGGGCUUAUA